GCUUGUCUCAAAGAUUAAGCCAUGCAUGUCUAAGUAUAAACAACUUUGUACUGUGAAACUGCGAAUGGCUCAUUAUAUCAGUUAUAGUCUACUCGAUAGUACCUUACUACUUGGAUAACCGUAGUAAUUCUAGAGCUAAUACAUGCGUAAAUACCCAACUGCUUGUCGGACGGGUAGCAUUUAUUAGAUUGAAACCAAUGCAGCUUCGGCUGGUAUUGUGUUGAGUCAUAAUAACUGUGCGGAUCGCUUUUUAAGCGAUAAAUCGAUUGAGUUUCUGCCCUAUCAGCUUUCGAUGGUAGUGUAUUGGACUACCAUGGCGGUGACGGGUAACGAAGAAUAAGGGUUCGGUUUCGGAGAGGGAGCCUGAGAGAUGGCUACCACAUCCAAGGAAGGCAGCAG
rnacentral:rRNA from 1 species